rnacentral:rRNA from 1 species
UGGGGAAUUUUCCGCAAUGGGCGAAAGCCUGACGGAGCAAUACCGCGUGAGGGAAGACUGCCUAUGGGUUGUAAACCUCUUUUUUCAGGGAGGAAUUUUGACGUGUACCUGAAGAAUAAGCAUCGGCUAACUCCGUG